rnacentral:rRNA from 1 species
AACAUCUUAGUACCUGCAGGAAAAGAAAAUAACAAUGAUUCCCCCAGUAGUGGCGAGCGAACGGGGAAGAGCCCAAACCUCAGAUGUUACGGCAUCUGGGGGGUUGUAGGACCGCGACAUCGCAAGAAAUCUCGUGAAUGGAAGCAUCUGGAAAGUUGCACCACAGACGGUGAGAGUCCGGUACAUGAAGCGAGACGAAGCGUAGCGGUAUCCUGAGUAUCGCGGGACACGAGGAAUCCUGCGUGAAUCCGCCGG